GUUUUGACUAUUCGUUUUAUUUUAAAUCUUUUUGUGACUAAUAUUUUUAUUGUUACUAGAUGAUAAAAUAUGAAUAGUAUUUUAUAAGUGACUAAUUUUUUAAUAAAAUUUUCAAAUAAAACGAUUGGUCAAAGC
rnacentral:pre_miRNA from 1 species